GCUGUGAAAUCUGGGGGCGCCACCCCCAGCCUGCAGUGGGUACGGGCAGACGAGAGUGCGGUAGGGGAGAUUGGAAUUCCUGGUGUAGCGGUGGAAUGCGCAGAUAUCAGGAGGAACACCGAUGGCGAAGGCAGAUCUCUGGGCCGUAACUGACGCUGAGGAGCGAAAGGGUGGGGAGCAAACAGG
rnacentral:rRNA from 1 species